rnacentral:rRNA from 1 species
CAGCAGCCACGGUAAUACGUAGGGUGCGAGCGUUAAUCGGAAUUACUGGGCGUAAAGCGUGCGCAGGCGGUUGUGUAAGACAGGUGUGAAAUCCCCUGGCUUAACCUGGGAACUGCGCUUGUGACUGCACAGCUAGAGUAUGGCAGAGGGGGGUGGAAUUCCACGUGUAGCAGUGAAAUGCGUAGAGAUGUGGAGGAACACCGAUGGCGAAGGCAGCCCCCUGGGCCAAUACUGACGCUCAUACACGAAAGCGUGGGGAGCAAACAGGAUUAGAUACCCCCGUAGUCCCUGUCUCUUAUAC